GAAAUGCGAUAAGUAAUGUGAAUUGCAGAAUUCAGUGAAUCAUCGAAUCUUUGAACGCACAUUGCGCCCGCCAGUAUUCUGACGGGCAUGCCUGUCCGAGCGUCAUUUCAACCAUCAAGCCCCCGGGCUUGUGUUGGGGACCUGCGGCUGCCCGCAGGCCCUGAAAACCAGUGGCGGGCUCGCUGUCACACCGAGCGUAGUAGCAAUCACCUCGCUCAGGGCGUGCUGCGGGUUCCGGCCGUUAAACAGCCUUACAAAACCCAAGGUUGACCUCGGAUCAGGUAGGAAGACCCGCUGAACUUAAGC
rnacentral:misc_RNA from 1 species